rnacentral:rRNA from 1 species
GCUGGCGGCGUGCCUAAUACAUGCAAGUCGAACGAGAACGGGUCUAGCUUGCUAGAUUGUCAGCUAAGUGGCGCACGGGUGAGUAAUGCAUAGGUGUACGUGCCCCAUAGCCUGGGAUAACAACUGGAAACGGUUGCUAAUACCGGAUAUUCCCUUCGGGGGAAAGAUUUAUCACUAUGGGAUCGGCCUAUGUCGUAUCAGCUAGUUGGUGGGGUAAUGGCUCACCAAGGCGAUGACGCGUAACUGGUUUGAGAGGAUGAUCAGUCACACUGGAACUGAGACACGGUCCAGACUCCUACGGGAGGCAGCAGUAGGGAAUAUUGCACAAUGGAGGAAACUCUGAUGCAGCAACGCCGCGUGGAGGAUGACGCAUUUCGGUGUGUAAACUCCUUUUAUAUAGGAAGAUAAUGACGGUACUAUAUGAAUAAGCACCGGCUAACUCCGUGCCAGCAGCCGCGGUAAUACGGGGGGUGCAAGCGUUACUCGGAAUCACUGGGCGUAAAGGGAGCGCAGGCGGCCUAAUAAGUGUCUUGUGAAAGCCUAUGGCUUAACCAUA